CCUAAAAAGGCCUAAAACGAAAUGAGAGUGGGUGAGUUAUGCAGAAUCCACGCCUGGGCGCCCCAAAAGGGCGUUGGGCGUCCUUUCCUGUUGUUUCCAACAUAAAUGUGACGCCCGGGCGCCCCUAAAGGGUGAUGGGCGCCCUUUUCUGCUAUUGCUUUUGUUUUUGAUAGUUUGGGGGAUUCCGGAUGUCUGUUUUGAACGUUCUUUAGGUCAUUCUGGGGGUUUUUUAUCCUUUCAGAGCCAUUGGUGAGGGUCUCCAAGCUGUUUGAAUUACUUAAGUAUUGAUAAUUAAAAGUCC
rnacentral:lncRNA from 1 species